rnacentral:tRNA from 2 species
GGGUGUAUGACUGAGUGGUUUAAGGUGUGAUAUUUGAGCUAUCAAGGUUAAUAACCCACGUGUUCGAAUCACGUUGCACCCG